ACUCCUACGGGAGGCAGCAGUGGGGAAUAUUGCACAAUGGGCGCAAGCCUGAUGCAGCCAUCGCCGCGUGUGUAGAAAGGCAAGGGCCUUCGGGUUGAUAAAGCACUUUCAGUCGUGAGGAAGGUAGUGUAGUUAAUAGCUGCAUUAUUUGACGUUAGCGACAGAAGAAGCACCGGCUAACUCCGUGCCAGCAGCCGCGGUAAUACGGAGGGUGCGAGCGUUAAUCGGAAUUACUGGGCGUAAAGCGCAUGCAGGUGGUUUGUUAAGUCAGAUGUGAAAGCCCGGGGCUCAACCUCGGAAUUGCAUUUGAAACUGGCAGACUAGAGUACUGUAGAGGGGGGUAGAAUUUCAGGUGUAGCGGUGAAAUGCGUAGAGAUCUGAAGGAAUACCGGUGGCGAAGGCGGCCCCCUGGACAGAUACUGACACUCAGAUGCGAAAGCGUGGGGAGCAAACAGGAUUAGAUACCCUGGUAGGAUAGCGU
rnacentral:rRNA from 1 species